ACUGGGAGCGGCCAUCUGAUACUGCUGGACUUGAGGGUGGUAGAGGGAGGUGGAAUUCCCGGUGUAGUGGUGAAAUGCGUAGAUAUCGGGAGGAACACCAGUGGCGAAAGCGGCCUCCUAGGCCAUUCCUGACACUGAGGCGCGAAAGCGUGGGGAGCGAACAGGAUCAGAUACCCUGGUAGUCCACGCCCUAAACUGUGGAAACUAGGUACAGGGAGUAUCGACCCUUCCUGCGCCGUAGCUAACGCGUUAAGUUUCCCGCCUGGGGACUACGGUCGCAAGACUAAAACUCAAAGGAAUUGACGGGGGCCCGCACAAGCAGCGGAGCGUGUGGUUUAAUUCGAUGCAACACGAAGAACCUUACCAAGGCUUGACAUGCUGGAAGUAGCGAACCGAAAGGGGAGCCAACUGUUAAGUCAGUAGCCUGCACAGGUGCUG
rnacentral:rRNA from 1 species